ACUAAAGUAACUGAAACCAUCUUUGGGGGAAAUAUCUGCAAUUAGAUAUUUAAGUGUGGUUCACGUAGCAUUUGCUUACAUAGAGUUUGCGGGCUUUAUGACCUACACGGCACCCAGCCACCAGAGGGCGAUCAAAAUAUUGGCUUCACUCACCGUGGCUCCCUUUGGUAACGGCCAUAUCGAUCACUGCUGGUUAAGAAGACAAGCUGCUUUUCUGCUGGAUGGUGAAGAUUCAAACCAACAACGUUGUCAGAGUAAAGUUCAAAGACAGCAAGAAAUAUAUUUUCUCUUCACAACCAUUUACAUUUCACACAUUUUUGGAAUGUGUUGCCAAGAAGUUUAAUCUUCCUACAAUGAAUGUCUUUGAUGACAUAAAGACAGAGGUUGAUGAGGAAUAAUAUCUGCUGACACGACCAGACUUUGGUGUCCUAGAAAUCUUCAUCCCAGAAAGCACAACAAGCCUUGAUGGGCACGUCAGACUCCGAUGGGACCGCAGUGUUGAUUAGAAAUCCUCCUGAAAAAAAUCUAGCCAAGAAACGUCAUCUAGUCCAGAUCGAAAAUAUCCUAAACAGCAUCCCUGGAGGCGAUAAGGUCAUAAAGGAAUACGCUCGCACAAAGUCUUUCAGAUGGCAAAAGACGUGACAUGGUGAAAAUCUUGGUAGCACAUUUAACAAAGGAACAUGGAUCUUCCCCUUACCGAAGUUUGAAGGAAGAAUAUGCAAAGGGUAUUAUCUCCAUAUUCCCAUGCUUUGCUGACCCCAGGAGCAAGCUUGGUUAUGAGCAUUAUUACAAUGCAGAAGAUGGAAGUGGAUAUUUGGCGUGGAGAAUUAAAACUCAAGCAUCAGAGGGACGGAUAAAAUGCACACGGCAACCACAAACAGGUGCAUGACUUGCAGAUUGAUUUGCAGAUUUUGGACUUUUAUUUGGUGAGGCGACCACUGCAAAGUUGUUGGAGAAGUGGUUUACCAACAUAAAACCAAAGGUUAUUGCACAGACCCGUGGCCUUAAACAGACUUGUAAGGUCCAAGACCUCAUCCAAAAUGCUGAAGUUGAAGAUGGUAACUAUUGUGCUAUACAUACAUGUGCUAUACAAGUUAUGAAUUCAUGAAGAAUGGCUUUAGAACCAUAGUUUCAAUUGUAUUAUUUAUUGUAUUAUAUUUACAAUAUAUAAUCCAUGCUUUUGUUAUUUAGAGUCCCAAAUGAAAACUAUUUUAAACUGUAAAUCUACAACUCGCAUACUAGGCCCUUGUGAAAACCCAUCUGAAAGCGCUCUAUUUUUACACACUAAUUUUGUACUUUAUAUACAAAAAAUUCUUCUUUUGUACUUCUUGAGAUAAUCUUAAGAACAUCUAAGUAUACUUGUCUGUACUAUUUUGAGACACCAUGAAUAUGAACUGAUAUAUGCUUAAAAUAUAU